rnacentral:lncRNA from 1 species
CUGGAAGGUCACUGUUGGACUUGCGCCCCGGGCCCCAGUGAUCCACAUUCCCUAUAAGAAUUCCUGUUCAAACCUGCAUCUGAACCUAAUCCAGCAUUUUGAAGUGACUUCCACUUUAUAGUAAAUAACGAGUAAAUACUGCAGAGAAACAGUAAGUCAUAUCUAAAAUGUGAAACAUUCUCCCAAAGAAAUAGCCAGAUCUCUUCAAAAGGUCAAUGUCAUGUGAAAAAUGUAAAGACAAGAG